GCUCAGAUUGAACGCUGGCGGUAGGCUACACAUGCAGUCGAACGGUAGCAGGAAGCAGCUUGCUCCUUGGGUGACGAGUGGCGGACGGGUGAAGUAAUACAUCGGGAAUCUACUUGUUCGUGGGGGAUAACGUAGGGAAACCUACGCUAAUACCGCAUAAGACCUACAAGAGAAAGCAGGGGAUCUUCGGGCCCUGUGCGCAUGAGAGAGCCGCAGUUGGGUUAGCUAGUUGGCGGGGUAAAGGCCCAACAUGGCGGCGAUCCCUAGCUGGUUUGAGAGGAAGGUCCACCACACUGGAAAUGAGACACGGUCCAGAAUUCUACGGGAGGCAGCCAUUGGGAAUUUUGGACAAUGGGCGCAAGCCCGAUCCCACCCUUCCGGGUGGUUGAAGAAGGCCUUUGGGUUGUAAAGCCCUUUUGUUCGGAAAGAAAUCCAGCCGGGUAAUUCCCGGUUGGGAUGGCGGUACCCAACGAAUAAGCCCCGGGUAAAUUCGUGCCCGCCGGCGCGGUAAUUAGAAGGGUGCCAGCGUUUCUUGGAAUUUCUGGGGGUAAAGCCUGAGUCGGUGGUUGUUUAAGUUCGGAUGAAAGUCCCGGGCUCAACCUGGGAACUGCAGUGGAUACUGGGCACUAGAGUUUGGUAGAGGGUAGCGGAAUUCCCAUGUAGCACUGAAAUGCGUAGAGAUCAGGAGGAACAUCCAUGGGGAAGGCAGGUACCUGGACCAACGAUGACCGUGAGGCACGAAAGCGUGGGGAGCAAACCAGAUUAGAUUCCCUGGUAGUUCCAGCCCUAAACGAUGCUAAAUGGAUGGGGGUGCAAUUGGCACGCAGUAUCGAAGCUAACGCGUAAGUCGCCGCCUGGAGACGCCCUUCAAGA
rnacentral:rRNA from 1 species